rnacentral:rRNA from 1 species
AGAGUUUGAUCCUGGCUCAGGAUGAACGCUAGCUACAGGCUUAACACAUGCAAGUCGAGGGGCAGCAUGGUCUUAGCUUGCUAAGGCUGAUGGCGACCGGCGCACGGGUGAGUAACACGUAUCCAACCUGCCGUCUACUCUUGGACAGCCUUCUGAAAGGAAGAUUAAUACAAGAUGGCAUCAUGAGUCCGCAUGUUCACAUGAUUAAAGGUAUUCCGGUAGACGAUGGGGAUGCGUUCCAUUAGAUAGUAGGCGGGGUAACGGCCCACCUAGUCUUCGAUGGAUAGGGGUUCUGAGAGGAAGGUCCCCCACAUUGGAACUGAGACACGGUCCAAACUCCUACGGGAGGCAGCAGUGAGGAAUAUUGGUCAAUGGGCGAGAGCCUGAACCAGCCAAGUAGCGUGAAGGAUGACUGCCCUAUGGGUUGUAAACUUCUUUUAUAGAGGAAUAAAGUCGGGUAUGCAUACCCGUUUGCAUGU